rnacentral:rRNA from 1 species
GGCGAACGGGUGAGUAACACGUGGGUGAUCUGCCCUGCACUUCGGGAUAAGCCUGGGAAACUAGGUCUAAUACCGGAUAGGAGCCAUUUUUAGUGUGAUGGUUGGAAAGUUUUUCGGUGCAGGAUGAGCUCGCGGCCUAUCAGCUUGUUGGUGGGGUAAUGGCCUACCAAGGCGGCGACGGGUAGCCGGCCUGAGAGGGUGGACGGCCACAUUGGGACUGAGAUACGGCCCAG